rnacentral:rRNA from 1 species
UACCGUGAAAAAAUUAGAGUGUUCAAAGCAGGCAGAUCCAAUUUUCUGCCACCGAAUACAUUAGCAUGGGAUAAUGGAAUAGGACCCUGUCCUCCUAUUUUCAGUUGGUUUUGGCAGCGCGAGGACUAGGGUAAUGAUUAAUAGGGAUAGUUGGGGGCAUUAAUAUUUAAUUGUCAGAGGUGAAAUUCUUGGAUUUAUGAAAGAUUAACUUCUGCGAAAGCAUCUGCCAAGGAUGUUUUCAUUAAUCAAGAACGAAAGUUAGGGGAUCGAAGACGAUCAGAUACCGUCGUAGUCUUAACCAUAAACGAUGCCGACCAGCGAUUAGGAGACGUUGAAUACAAAACACCACCAUCGGCGCGGUCGUCCUUGGCGUCUCUGUCCCUUUCAACGGGGGCAUGGCCGCGAGGGCGGUUUAGCCCGGUGGCACCGGUGAAUGACUCCCCU